CCCCUGUGUCACUAUAAUAUAAGUGUUUUUUCACGCGGGACUUCGCGCCCGGGGAAAACAAAACCUUCUGAAUUAUUUAAUAGAUAUCUUCUGACCCCGUUAAAAAAAAAUGAAUCAAAACUUUCAACAACGGAUCAACAGGUUCUGGCAUCGAUGAAGAACGCAGCGAAAUGCAAUAAGUAAUGUGAAUUGCAGAAUUCAGUGAAUCAUCGAAUCUUUGAACGCACAUUGCGCCCGUCAGUAUUCUGGCGGGCAUGCCUGUUCGAGCGUCAUUACGCCCCUCAAGUCCCCUGUGGACUUGGUGUUGGGGAUCGGCGAGGCUGGUUUUCCAGCACAGCCGUCCCUUAAAUUAAUUGGCGGUCUCGCCGUGGCCCUCCUCUGCGCAAUAAUAAAACACUCGCAACAGGAGCCCGGCGCGGUCCACUGCCGUAAAACCCCCCAACUUUUUAUAGUUGACCUCGAAUCAGGUAGGACUACCCGCUGAACUUAAGCAUAUCAAUAAGCGGAGGAAA
rnacentral:rRNA from 1 species